GGAAGUAAAGUCGUAACAAGGUUUCCGUAGGUGAACCUGCGGAAGGAUCAUUAUUGUAUAACCGAGGUGCGAGGGCUGUCGCUGACCCGAAAGGUCGUGCACGCCCGAGUGCCCUCACACACAUCCAUCUCACCCCUAUGUGCACCACCGCGUGGGUCCCCCUUUGGCUUGUUCGGAGGGGGGCUUACGUUUUCACACAAACUUUGUAUGCAGUGUAGAAUGUAUUUUUUGUUUUUGCGAUCACGCAAUCAAUACAACUCUCAACAACGGAUCUCUUGGCUCUC
rnacentral:misc_RNA from 1 species